GCAUGUCUAGUAUAAGCAACUUGUACUGUGAAACUGCGAAUGGCUCAUUAAAUCAGUUAUCGUUUAUUUGAUAGUACCUUACUACAUGGAUACCUGUGGUAAUUCUAGAGCUAAUACAUGCUAAAAACCCCGACUCACGAAGGGGUGUAUUUAUUAGAUAAAAAACCAACGCCCUUCGGGGCUCCUUGGUGAAUCAUAAUAACUUAACGAAUCGCAUGGCCUUGCGCCGGCGAUGGUUCAUUCAAAUUUCUGCCCUAUCAACUUUCGAUGGUAGGAUAGUGGCCUACCAUGGUGGCAACGGGUAACGGGGAAUUAGGGUUCGAUUCCGGAGAGGGAGCCUGAGAAACGGCUACCACAUCCAAGGAAGGCAGCAGGCGCGCAAAUUACCCAAUCCCGAUACGGGGAGGUAGUGACAAUAAAUACUGAUACGGGGCUCUUUUGGGUCUCGUAAUUGGAAUGAGAACAAUUUAAAUCCCUUAACGAGGAACAAUUGGAGGGCAAGUCUGGUGCCAGCAGCCGCGGUAAUUCCAGCUCCAAUAGCGUAUAUUAAAGUUGUUGCAGUUAAAAAGCUCGUAGUUGAACCUUGGGUCUGGCUGGCCGGUCCGCCUCACCGCGAGUACUGGUCCGGCUGGACCUUUCCUUCUGGGGAACCUCAUGGCCUUCACUGGCUGUGGGGGGAACCAGGACUUUUACUGUGAAAAAAUUAGAGUGUUCAAAGCAGGCCUUUGCUCGAAUACAUUAGCAUGGAAUAAUAGAAUAGGACGUGCGGUUCUAUUUUGUUGGUUUCUAGGACCGCCGUAAUGAUUAAUAGGGAUAGUCGGGGGCGUCAGUAUUCAGCUGUCAGAGGUGAAAUUCUUGGAUUUGCUGAAGACUAACUACUGCGAAAGCAUUCGCCAAGGAUGUUUUCAUUAAUCAGGGAACGAAAGUUAUGGGAUCGAAGACGAUCAGAUACCGUCGUAGUCUUAACCAUAAACUAUGCCGACUAGGGAUCGGACGGGAUUCUAUAAUGACCCGUUCGGCACCUUACGAGAAAUCAAAGUUUUU
rnacentral:rRNA from 1 species